UACGUAGGGAGCAAGCGUUGUCCGGAAUUACUGGGUGUAAAGGGUGCGUAGGCGGGUUUGCAAGUCAGGCGUGAAAACUAUAGGCUUAACCUGUAGACUGCGUUUGAAACUGUGAAUCUUGAGUGAAGUAGAGGUAAGUGGAAUUCCCGGUGUAGCGGUGAAAUGCGUAGAGAUCGGGAGGAACACCAGUGGCGAAGGCGACUUACUGGGCUUUAACUGACGCUGAGGCACGAAAGCAUGGGUAGCAAACAGG
rnacentral:rRNA from 1 species